CCCGAGGCCCCGCGGACGGUCGCGACAGCCCCAACUUCCCGGAAAGAAGACCAAGAUGUAAGCACACCUGAGCAGAUCCUUUUCCAAGUAUCCUGAUGUCUCCAAGGGCUGUUCAGAUUCCAAAGAGAACUAUCUACAAGUUAAUCUCUGUUACUGGAGUCAUUCAUUCUCCGUAGUAAUCUGCUCCACAGAAUUCCUCUUCUCUUCCCUCCCAUAACCUGUUUUACCAGGAUCCAAGCCUCCAUUCUUUCUGUAACCUCAUUGGGAAGUUGGUUCUUCAUUUGGAAGGCUCCCAUGUGUACAUGUUAAAUAAAU
rnacentral:lncRNA from 1 species